GUUCUUAUUACAAUUCUCAAAUUUAAAAUUAAGUUCUGAUCACAUCUUCUCAGGGCAUACCUAAGAGGCAGUGUUUAUCCCCAGCCAAAUCAAUUGUUUCCUCAAGUGACUCAUUCCUGAAAAUGUUAUUGUUUCUAAUAACCAGCUCAAAUAUGUAUUUUCAUUAAUCUUUUCUUUUACCUCCAUUUCACACGUGUUGCUGCAUGUCAGGCAGUUUCCACAAGGAUCUGCCAUGACAUCAUUGUGUGAGGUAUGAAAAAAAAAUUUUUUUUUUUCUAAUUUAAGAAUUACUUUUACUCAGAUGGUGGCUGGGCUGGGAAAUGUUCCCCAUUGCCCUGGGAGUUUUAGGCCAAGGCUUGUGUGUGUGUGUGUGUGUGUGUGUGUGUUGGAAGGGUCUCUCAUUGCCUAUUUCUGCUUAUAUAACACACACUGGUUUAGGUAGGUGGAGUCAGAAUGGGAAGAGGAAGUUCCCUAAGUGUUUCUUGCAUGCAAAGUAAGCCACUGGCCUAGACAAGAAGCAACUCUGCACUGCUUUUCAAACAUCAUCCUCCCUCUCGACCGCAGGGACUAUUUGGUUUCUAUUCUACUUCUGGCCUUUCAUAUUCCUGAUGGUGCAUUGGAUGAAACCCCGCAGCCAGGCGUGUGAACGUGGUUGAAAAGACCCAUGGAGGACCAGCAACGCUUCCCCACAGCGUGGGAUGGUCCCCUCCUGAGAUGGCCCACUGUCAGCGGGACUGACGCCAAGCACUGCAUCCUGUCUGCUUCUUGAACAGCCCCUUCAUUGUUUGUUCAGCUAUUCUGCUGCAUCUGCAGAUAGCCCUGCCUGAGAAACAGCCUCAAACCAGAAGGAGAGGAUGGCGGCAAGCCUUAGAGAAACAUCAAAAUUUGCUAUUAAGAAAAUAGUGAAGAAGUCUCAUCAGAGAGAAGUUAAAAGCAUACUAGUGGAUUCCUUGGGGCUGCAGAAAGAGUAGCAAAAAGUUGGAGAAAACAUCAACUACACCAAAGGAAUUUUAGGAGCUUGGUCCCCAGCAAAGCUCAUGGAAUCUCUCUCUGCAAGGAAGAGUCAGUUUUAAAAGCCCUCAGCCUGCUCUCAAUGGGUCCUGCCUCCUUCCCUGCCUGCACCCCAACACUGGGGAAAGGAGAAACCUCCGUUAGCAAGUUGGAGAAAAGGAGUUGAGGAAGGAAGAGGAUAGCCCGGCCCCCUCCCUGACUGCAGGUUUUUCUUUUUCUUUUUAACAGUGGAUUCUAGCGAGGGGAGGGCAAAUCCCUGAAACCUUGAAUGAAGUUGGAAGCCUUUACUAGUUUGUGUGUUUGGAAUUCUAAGUAGAAAUUGAGACUGUGUUUUGUGACUCAAAUGACUAAGAUUUUCUGUUACCUACGAGUGGCCAAAAUGUCAAGUAUUCAUCCGGGGGCAGGGUGAAAACUAGACCUACUGAGAAAGUUAAAAGACAAGGGGAAAACACAAUAAACCUGCUGUAUUUUUACCUCCAAAGUGUCCAUUCAAUUUACUGGCUGUAGUAGUUUGAAAGCAAGGUUCUGUGAUAUCAUUCCAGAGUUGAGAGUAACAAAAGCUGAUAAUUGUAAAUGCAGCACUAUCCAAUGGAAAUAUAAUGCAAAUUAUAUGCGUGACUUAACAUUUUUU
rnacentral:lncRNA from 1 species